UGGCAGCCGCAAAGCCCAGGGAGGCGGCUCCUGCAGCCCCUCACCGCCCCGCGACCCGGGCGCCUGCAGCCAAAGCUGCCGCCUGGGGAGGAAGAGGAGGAAGAGGAGGUGACAAACUCUCCGGCUCCACGCCGCGGCCCGCAGCUCCGCGCUCAGGCAUGCAGGCGCGGCGUCUAGCCAAGCGCUCCAGCCUGGGCAGCCGCCGCGGGGGCGCCGCGCUGCAGCCGGCUGGGCCGGCGUCCGCGCCCGCCCAGGAAGCAGCCCUGCACGGACUCCCGCCCCCUGCCCCGGGCCCGGGCCCAGUCCCGGAGAGCUGGAGGCCGCCGCUGCCGCCGCCGCGCAGCGCCGGGACCGGCCCCCCUCGGGCCGCCGGAGCUGCAGCCUCGUCGCCCGUGCUGCUGCUUCUGGGGGAGGAAGACGAGGACGAAGAAGGCGGGAGCAGGCGGCGGAGGGGACUCGGUAGGGUGGAGGAGAAGCCCCGAGGGGGCGCGGAGGAGGAGGAUGACGAAGAGGAAGACGAGGACGAGGAGGUGGUCGUCGAGGUGGUGGACGGCGACGACGACGAGGAGGAUGGCGAGGAGCGUUUCGUGCCCCUCGGACCGGGUCGUGCGUUCCCCAAGGGCCCGACCCGGGGCGCGUUGAAGGUGGGGAGCAUUAAGCGGGAAAUGGCCUUCACAUUUCAAUCAGAGGACUUGAAACGUGACUCUAGUAAGAAAAUGUCUCAUCACUUGUUCCCCUUGGCCAUGGAGGAAGAUGUGAAAACAGCAGACACCAAAAAAGCCGGUCGGGUCCUUGACCAUGAAAAAGAAAACACUCGUUCCAUCUGUCUCCUUGAGCAGAAACGGAAAGUCGUUUCUUCUAAUAUUGAUGUCCCUCCAGCAAGGAAAUCUUCAGAGGAACUGGACAUGGACAAGGUGACAGCAGCGAUGGUACUCACCAGCUUGUCAACCAGCCCUUUGGUUCGAAGUCCUCCUGUGCGGCCAAAUGAGGGCCUCAGCGGAUCCUGGAAAGAGGGCGGGUGCGUGCCCUCCAGUACCAGCAGCAGCGGCUACUGGAGCUGGAGCGCCCCCAGCGACCAGUCCAACCCGUCCACACCGUCGCCGCCGCUGUCCGCCGACAGCUUCAAGCCCUUCCGCAGUCCCGCACAGCCAGACGAUGGCAUUGACGAGGCGGAGGCCAGCAACCUGCUCUUUGACGAGCCCAUUCCCAGGAAAAGAAAGAACUCAAUGAAGGUGAUGUUCAAAUGCCUCUGGAAGAACUGUGGCAAGGUGCUGAGCACUGCAGCAGGCAUCCAAAAACACAUCCGGACCAUUCAUCUCGGGCGUGUUGGAGACUCUGACUACAGUGAUGGAGAGGAGGACUUCUACUACACAGAGAUCAAGCUCAACACAGACUCAGUGGCAGAUGGACUGAGCAGCCUGGCCCCAGUUUCACCCUCCCAGUCCCUGGCUUCCCCUCCUACGUUCCCCAUCCCAGAUUCCAGCAGAACAGAAACUCCUUGUGCCAAAACUGACACCAAACUGAUGACACCAUUGAGCCGCUCAGCUCCCACCACCCUCUACCUCGUGCACACCGACCAUGCUUACCAGGCCACACCCCCCGUGACUAUUCCAGGAUCGGCUAAGUUCACCCCCAACGGCAGCAGCUUCAGCAUUUCUUGGCAAUCUCCUCCAGUCACUUUCACAGGCAUUCCAGUGUCACCAACACAUCAUCAUGUGGUGAGCACAGGAGAACAGAGACAACAUGCCCACACCGUCCUGUCCUCCCCACCCAGAGGGACAGUCAGCCUAAGGAAGCCCAGGGGAGAGGGCAAAAAGUGCCGGAAGGUGUAUGGCAUGGAGAACCGGGACAUGUGGUGCACCGCCUGCCGCUGGAAGAAGGCCUGCCAGAGGUUCAUCGACUGAGUAGCAGAGGGCGGCCCCAAGCUGCUCCUGCCUCCCGUUUUGCUGCAGGUGUUAGGAAGAGCCUUUCCUUCUGAACAAAACCUCAAGACCCAGGGAAAGCCCUUCUACGAGCCUUUGUGGAGUCACAGCAAAAAAAAAAAAUCAAAAAUAUCACCACCUGUGCUGCUCUUACUGAGAACCCAGCCUAGAGUGGCUAGAACAUCCCCCCCCCCCGUCAAAAGAAAAGUCAACUUAGCCAUGUAUUUAGGUCUUAAAACUAUGGACUUCUGUAACAACUGAACCAACCAAGCCCAUUUUACCUAGAAAGGAGGCAUAUUUUGAUAAGCUUUCUGAAUUAUGGCAUUUCCGAGAAUUUUUUCGACCCUUAGGGGGGAAAAGAAAUCACAUUAGCUACAACAUUAUUCAGUAGCAUUUGUACAAAGAACAAUACCCACUUUGUGAAUAGACUUUUCCCCUUUUUUUCAUUGACUUCUUGAAGCAGUACACAUCAUGAUGUGUUGCAAGAAAGAGCAGCACUCUGGGUAUCUUUUCUAUGUCUGUUUUGUUUGUUUUUAAGAAUGGCCCCAGAUGGCAUAAGCUCCAAAAGCAAUUGGCAAUGGUGACACCAGCGGCCUGCAGUCCCAAGUUGAGUUCAGGAAAUGUAGCUGCCACUGUUGGAAACCAUCGAGGAAUCUUCCUUGGAUCUGUAAGGAGCUCUUCCCCCAAGAGGCAGCACAGCUAAUUCUCCACCUGCCACAACUCAGACAAGAACUGGCAUCCAUAGCCAUCUGGAUGUGGACGGACCCCAGUACCUUCCUGCUCACAGACACCUAUUCCCUGCACCAAGACAUGUAAUAACUAGGAGACCACCAAGCUACACCUGGCUGGCCUUGAAGAAGACAUUAUACUUUGUACAAGCUCUGAAUUGCAAUAUGCAGCUGCUGAUUGUACAAGUUAAAUUUUUUAAAAUAGUUAUUUUGUUAUUUUUGGAACCAAAUGAAGUGCCAAAUUAAACCAGACUUUCAUUUCACGCCAUCUCUGUGGAACCAAGUUGUUUUAUGUCUGCAUUUGGCAGGGAGAAGGGUAAGAAGAGCAGUCCCAGGGUAAGCUGGCGAGCCUUGUCCAUCCCAGGGAACUCAGAGGCCUGUCCAGGCAAAAGGAGUGGCAAUACAAUGGAUUCUGGUCCAGUGAAAAGUUCUGAUUUUUUUUUCCCUUCUUUAAUGCCCCUUCUUUUUAAAAAGUUCUCUCAUUUCUCUACAAAGGAGGCAUUUGAUAUUCACCAACAGGGCACAUACCAGUUAGCUGCAAAGCAAAAAGUGUGUAUCGGGCAAUAGCCUCAAGACUUAGUUCUUCCCAGAGUAAUGGACACCCAACUUGUGGGAGGCAGUGAUGCAACUUGAAGAAAACACCCAGAUAGCAAGUGUGUCAGGGAGGAAGAUUCAAGAGGCCUGCGGACACCUGGCCCCUGUUCAUCUUGGGGCUAAUCAGCCAAUAGUGACUGUCUCUGAGCAUUACCCACGGGUACAGGGCUGCUGAGCAUCUCCUCCUCAAUUGCUGGAAAGUUUCCUCCCUUGGUUGGCAAAAGCCAGUGUCGGGAAAAGAGUGGUGGGUUUCCAACCAGGAAUGUGCAUGCUCAGCUAAAAAAUGCCUGUCAGUAGCUCCAUGUACAAACAAGGUACCCUUCAGCGGACAAAUCCCUGCCAUAACCAUGUUGCAGAUGGAGAAAUUCAGUAGAGAAUGAUGCCUGUUAUAGUUCUUCAAUUUUCCAAAAAACUUUUCAAAGAUGGUCACAUGUAUGCUGCAAAAAAUUUCUGAAACUGAUAUGUCCUCCAUUAAAUGUCAAGAGCAUUCAA